rnacentral:rRNA from 1 species
AUUGAACGCUGGCGGCAGGCCUAACACAUGCAAGUCGAGCGAGCGGCGGACGGGUGAGGAAUGUCUGGGAAACUGCUUGAUGGAGGGGGAGAACGACUGGAAACGGUAGCAAAUACCGCAUACAGUCAGAUGUGGGCAGGUGGGAUUAGCUGGUGGGUGGGGUAACGGCUCACCUAGGCGACGAUCACUAGCUGGUGUGGGAGGAUGACCAGCCACACUGGAACUGAGACACGGUCCAGACUCCUACGGGAGGCAGCAGUGGGGAAUAUUGCACAAUGGGCGAAAGCCUGAUACAGCCAUGCCGCGUGUGUGAAGAAGGCCUUCGGGUUGUAAAGUACUUUCAGCGGGGAGGCGUUACCCGCAGAAGAAGCACCGGCUAACUCCGUGCCAGCAGCCGCGGUAAUUC